CGGUCUGCAGUUCACCGAGGCAUCGCCGCCCGCGAGGGUACGCUAAACCUGCAU
rfam:Phenylobacterium sp. Root1277 contig_3, whole genome shotgun sequence.